rnacentral:rRNA from 1 species
UACGUAGGGGGCUAGCGUUGUCCGGAAUCAUUGGGCGUAAAGCGCGUGUAGGCGGCUCGGUAAGUCCGCUGUGAAAGUCGGGGGCUCAACCCUCGGAUGCCGGUGGAUACUGUCGGGCUAGAGUACGGAAGAGGCGAGUGGAAUUCCUGGUGUAGCGGUGGAAUGCGCAGAUAUCAGGAGGAACACCAAUAGCGAAGGCAGCUCGCUGGGACGGUAUUGACGCUAAGGCGCGAAAGCGUGGGGAGCAAACAGG